AGGAUUCCCCUAGUAACUGCGAGUGAAGCGGGAAAAGCUCAAAUUUAAAAUCUGGCGGUCUUUGGCCGUCCGAGUUGUAAUCUAGAGAAGUGCUAUCCGCGCUGGACCGUGUACAAGUCUCCUGGAAUGGAGCGUCAUAGAGGGUGAGAAUCCCGUCUUUGACACGGACUGCCAGGGCUUUGUGAUGUGCUCUCAAAGAGUCGAGUUGUUUGGGAAUGCAGCUCAAAAUGGGUGGUAAAUUCCAUCUAAAGCUAAAUAUUGGCGAGAGACCGAUAGCGAACAAGUACCGUGAGGGAAAGAUGAAAAGAACUUUGGAAAGAGAGUUAAACAGUACGUGAAAUUGCUGAAAGGGAAACGCUUGAAGUCAGUCGCGUUGGCCGGGGAUCAACCUUGCUUUUGCUGGGUGUACUUUCCGGUUGACGGGUCAGCAUCAAUUUUGACYGUUGGAUAAAGUCUGUGGGAAUGUGGCUUCUUCGGAAGUGUUAUAGCCCAUGGUCGCAUACAACGGUUGGGAUUGAGGAACUCAGCACGCCGCAAGGCCGGGUAUUUAUACCACGUUCGUGCUUAGGAUGCUGGCAUAAUGGCUUUAAUCGACCCGUCUUGAAACACGGACCAAGGAGUCUAACAUGCCUGCGAGUGUUUGGGUGGAAAACCCGAGCGCGUAAUGAAAGUGAAAGUUGAGAUCCCUGUCGUGGGGAGCAUCGACGCCCGGACCAGACCUUUUGUGACGGAUCCGCGGUAGAGCAUGUAUGUUGGGACCCGAAAGAUGGUGAACUAUGCCUGAAUAGGGUGAAGCCAGAGGAAACUCUGGUGGAGGCUCGUAGCGAUUCUGACGUGCAAAUCGAUCGUCAAAUUUGGGUAUAGGGGCGAAAGACUAAUCGAA
rnacentral:rRNA from 1 species